rnacentral:rRNA from 1 species
AUGAAGGUCGUACGUGACAUAGAAGAUGGCGAGCUACAUCUUGCAUCUACAAUCGAGGUCGACCUAGGCUCGUGUUCGACACUGCAGUUCUUGGUUGGUGUGUCCGAUAGCAACCCGGGCAGCGGUGUGAGGCGGGUCUGGUUUUGGUACUAUGUUGAUAGCAAGGGUGCAAGGCUCAAGGGAAGCAGUCGGUUCUGUAGUUCUUUGUAUGCUUAUGGUAUCUUGGACGAGGGUUACAAAUUCAACAUGUCAGUUGAGGAAGCUGCUGAGUUAGCAUGGCGGGCUUUUAUCACAAACUAUUCUGCGACAGAGCUAGUGGUGGCUGUGUUCCUGGUGAUUUGUUAA